UACGAAGGGGGCUAGCGUUGCUCGGAAUCACUGGGCGUAAAGGGUGCGUAGGCGGGUUCUUAAGUUAGAGGUGAAAGCCUGGAGCUCAACUCCAGAACUGCCUUUAAUACUGGGAAUCUUGAGUUCGGAAGAGGUGGGUGGAACUGCGAGUGUAGAGGUGAAAUUCGUAGAUAUUCGCAAGAACACCAGUGGCGAAGGCGGCUCACUGGUCCGAUACUGACGCUGAGGCACGAAAGCGUGGGGAGCAAACAGG
rnacentral:rRNA from 1 species